rnacentral:lncRNA from 1 species
UUCCCCCAACUUAAUUCAUUUUGCCGUUAUUCUAGAUGAGUGAGAAAAGAAUAAAUAUUAGUUGUCCGUUUUUAGCUACUAUUCUGUAACGACUCAUUUUUUGCAUGGAAUCAGUAAUAUACACUUUUUUACUAGCUAUUAAAACAAUAGCGAGUGUAAUGCCCCCUAAAACAGCAACAAGUCGCUAUCGAAGGGGACCAUCAACUUGAUGUUUUUGAAUAACCAGUAAAUAAGUAUUUGAUUUUAUAUAAAGUACUGCUA